AUUACCAUGGUUACCGUUGCCAUGGUAACCGUUACCAUGGUUAGCGUUGCCAUGGUAACCGUUACCAUGGUUAGCGUUGCCAUAGUAACUGUUGCCAUACUAACCGUUGCUAUGGUUACCGUUGCCAUGGUUACCGUUGCCAUGAAAAUGAUGCCAGAGUA